UCUCUGGUAGUAUAUCGGUUAGUACACGCGCCUGUCAUCGGUAGCUUGCUUCUGUACGCGCGAAAGCUGGGUUCGACUCCCAGCCAGAGAG